GGAUUAGAUACCCUGGUAGUCCACGCCGUAAACGAUGAGUGCUAAGUGUUGGAGGGUUUCCGCCCUUCAGUGCUGCAGCUAACGCAUUAAGCACUCCGCCUGGGGAGUACGGUCGCAAGACUGAAACUCAAAGGAAUUGACGGGGGCCCGCACAAGCGGUGGAGCAUGUGGUUUAAUUCGAAGCAACGCGAAGAACCUUACCAGGUCUUGACAUCUCCUGACCGCCCUGGAGACAGGGUCUUCCCUUCGGGGACAGGAUGACAGGUGGUGCAUGGUUGUCGUCAGCUCGUGCCG
rnacentral:rRNA from 1 species